CCUCAAGCAAUCCUCCCACCUUGGCCUUCCAAAGUGCUGGGAUUACAGGCCUCAGCCACCAUGACUGGUCCUAAUUUCAAUUUUAGUCUCUUAAAUUAUUAUAAAUUAAGAAACAUCUUGCUGCCUUUCAAGUAACACUAAAAAGUAACCAUGGUUUUCUGUGGAAAAGGUGUUCUCUUGUCAUCAAGUUUUAAAUACUCUGUUUAUUCUGGGUUAUCUAAGAUUUAACUUUAAUCAUUCUGAAAACUUGAAGAGACGCUACUUUGUAUUUAAGUGAAGCCGUGCACUUGUAAAUCUUAUCAUAAAGAAUCACACAAGGCCCUUACAAUAUUAUACAAAAUUUAAAUCAACUUCGAUUUAACUAGUCAUCUAAUUAUCAUCAUUUACUUUACAUUCUCACUAAUUAAUUUGGAGACUUUUAAACUUUGUUAGAAUUUUUAUUUCCUUUUCCAUUGACAUGUAACAUCCAUUAAGAAAUGAAACAACAUAAAAUGAACUCUACAAACAGUCUCCACUCACUUCUUCAUAGCCAAAAUGUCUUUUUUGGGAGCAUCUCUGCUUUACCAAAUAGAAGCCUUAAUGGAUAGAGAAGCAGGUUCACAUGAGGAAGAUAAUGCUACAUGGCCAAGGGCCUCUUUAGAAUUUCUCGACUUGCAACUGGCAUGUUGAAUUCCACCUAAAGAUGUAUUUUAUUUUGCCUAGACAGUGCUUUCUCCUCUUUGCUUUCUAAUUGAGCUGACAUAUUGACAUUCUGAGAUUUCACAUGAAAAUUUGUAUUUGUGACAUGUCUCAAAAAAUCAGAAAUUCUGGCAUCUGGGGCUGGUUCCCCAAGAAGCAGGCAAUAACUAGCUGAAGCUAAGUAUCUCUUGCCUCCUCUAGAUGGGGCAAAUUCUCCCUAGUUCAAAACAGUCCAGCCAGGCCCCCUUCAUGGGGUGUUUUUACCUAUCUGGCAUUUGAGUUGGUGAUGCUGGCUUUAGCAUAUCUAUUCCAACUUUAUUUGUAUGUCCCCUGAGGACCAUAAGAAACUGAGUUGUCAUGCAGAUAACUGCAAAACUCCUGUCUCCUUUCAGUAUAACUUUUCCGAGUUGCCUCCUAGGUAGGAAGAAGCUUUUGAAAUAGGAGAAAAUAGUUAUUUCAUGUAUUCAGGUGGUUAUUUGCAUAAAUGAAACUUUGGAACACAUUAUCCUUUGCUGAUUCCCAAAGACACUAAUGCCCCUGGGACACACCCAGGGCACUGAUUUGAAUUGCCAAUGACAAAUCAAAGUGUCAGUCAUGGGUAGAUAUGGAAAGCAUUUGUGGGCCCUCCAGGUUCAAUCAGAACUAUCAGUGGCCAGUGUCGUAGAGGUAGUAAUGCUUUUGUUUGUUAGUUAUGAGCAUGAUACAGGUUCAAUAAUCUGACCAGUAACAUUGCACUCUAGCCAGGAUUAGAAAUAUUUUUAGGAAGUCAAAGCCAGAUGUAAAUUAUCCCCUCAAGUAAAUCUUCAUGAUGCAGAUUCUAUAAAAAUUGUAGAAAAUUGCUAUUAUCAUUAUGCCACCUGUUUGUAUAAAGUCCUUUUGUCAGGCCUGGCUCUGUACCUUCGAGCUGCUCUGUGUGCCUCACUCUGCCAUUUGACCAUCACUUUUCAGCAAAUGAGCUUCCAACACCCACCUACAUUCUGAACCAUUAUAUUUUAAACCACCCUGAACUCUUAUUCAACCUGUUCUUGAUUGAUUGCAGCUUCUGAUUCUUAGGGAAAAUCACCUCUGCGUUUUAUUAUUCUUCCUGUAACAAUGUCUGCUGACUUCCAUCCUCAGCUACAAUUCACAGUGAGCUCUUACAUUACAAUAAUACAAAUGUUUACCAUGUGGGGACAUCUAUAUGUACUCGGCAUUAUGCUAAGUGCUAUAACUUGAUGAGAGACUACUUUGUAUUUAAGUGAAGCAGUGCACCUGUAAAGAAGAUUUGGUUAAUCCCACACCACUGCCACCAACAAAUACAUGAUUGGACUGAGAUGUGACUUUAAAGAUACCUGAUACCAACCAAAACUCAAGCUUUCGACAUGCUGGGGCACACUCUGUGUUACUGACCCUAAGCCCUGAAACUCUCCCUACUGCAUGCAUUUGUGGAUACAUUCUGCCAUGUUCAAUGUGGCUAAGAGAAUGAGUGGGAAUCAGAUGUGUAUUCUCCGUUAUGCCUAUUAAAAUUCUAUUCAACUUCAGAGAGCCAACUAAAACUCAACCCCCUGCCUAGUUUUCUCUGACUGACCUUUCUCUCAUCUGAACUCCUAUAAUAAUUAUUCCUUUGAUUGAUUCUGUAAUUGUUCACCUUGCACAACUUUAGUGCAUUUCUUUCUGCUUUAUUUUAAAAACUUAUUUAUCCUCAUUAUUAUUAGUCAGCAUUUUAUGUGUUCAUAUUAUAGAUCCCCUGUUACAAUGAAGACUCCGUGAAGUCAGACACUUUCUCUAACCUCAACAGAACCUUGAUGAAAAUAAGCAUUUAAUUUUUUUCAACCUAAGGUACUUUAAAAGGUUUAGAAUAUUAGGUGGCUAGUAACAUCUAAUAAUAUUCUAAUUUCUGGAGAAAACAUUCCUGAAGACACAGAGAGGGCAAAAACACAAGAAUAGCAACAACAAAAAAAUAGAAUUUAGAGAUACCUCAUAGUCAUAAAGCUAAAGGAGCUGAAUUAAAGAAGAAAAAUAAUAGUUCAGCUAUGCUUCACCUCAUGAACAUGGAGUGACCUCAGGAUAUCACUAUUGUAUUCAUUGAGGCUGAAAUUGGCAGCUUAUCUUUUCUACUGCCUGCCUUGUGGUUCAGAGUUUAUGAUGUGCAAACCCACCAAAUACUAGGCAAGCAUCCCUGUGCUACACAGGUGUUGUUUUCUAAAAUAGCCAGAAUUCUGUUGCUCUUCGUCUUUGCUCCUCUUUCUAUAUCCAUUUAGAGACUGGAAGUCACAGGAAACAACACGGCAGGAAGAGUGGGGGACUGGCAGUAAAAUAAGGCAUCCUGGAGAGUAUAGUAACCACAAUUAUAUUGCUAAAGAUGGAGCUGGAGUUACAGAAAGCACCAGUAGAAAGGCAGGCUGGGGAUUUAAUUUUUUAUGUAUACUAACUACACCCUUACAUCGACAACCAGGCUGGGAAAGUUGGAGAUGAUUCCACCUGUGUCUAGCAAAACUAUGCUAGUAGUCUUGUUGAUGAAAAAUUUGAUAAAGAAUAAUGCUUAUCAAACUGCCUCAAGCUGUACCUAACCCUAAGAAAGGAAUCCGUCCACCCCUAUGAAUAAUGAAUUCAGUCCAGGAAUGGUCACAUGACCUUCUGUAACCAUUAAAGGUUCCAUUUGGCUCUAUGUAGCAGAAAAGUGGACAUAGUGAUUUAAAUAAAUAAAUCUGUAGUGGGUUUUUUUCUCUUUUUCUUUUUAAAUGUUUGUAUAACAAUAAUUCAGAGCAGUUGCUGUGCUUGGCUAAACACAUUAUCAAAGACACAGGUUUAUCAUUUUUCUCCACUCACCAUCUUUAGAAUGUAGUUUUUUUUUUCCUAUUGCCUCUCUUCUCAUGGCCAGCAGAUGGCUGCUUUAUCCUUAGCAUUUCAGCUACAUUCCAGGCAGGAAAGAAGACAAGCAUUAAGGGAAGAAGGCAUGUGCAAGAUGAACCUGCUCUCUUUUAAAUAGCUUCCAUGGAAAGCCCAUUCAGCAAUCUCUACUUACAUCUCGUUGUUCAAAAGGGUAUCAAAUGUUCACGUUUAGCUUCAAGGAAGACUGGGAGAUGUGAUUUUUAAUCAGGACACUUCGCUGCUGCAAACAAAAUAACACUGGAUAGAGAUUAAGGCUAAUAUAAGAUCAGAGUGAAUUAAGAGUGAGGUGAGAGUAGGGACACUCCUCAGAUCACACAGGGCUUUGCAGUCGACUACAAGGAGUUUAGAUUUUAUUAUUUGAUGCACAAUCAGAGGCCACGAAAGGAUUUUAAGCACAUAAGUCUCUCUGUUGGGUAAAGCAUAGGUUAGGAGAGGAAGAGAGAAAAUGGGGACACUAUUAAGGAGCCUGUCCAUCCUAUUCUCUAUUCAAUAAAUCGUGGUGGCUUGUGCUAGAUUGGUUGAGUGGGUAUAGAUGGAACAAAACAAUUAAAGGACAUUGUCAAUAUAGAACUGAAAAGAGUUGCAGAGGGGUUCGAUGUAGGUAGAAAGAAAGUAGGAGUCUUCUGAGAGUCAAGAUGGAGAAACUGGGUGGAUGAUAGUGCCAAUCACUGAGACAGGAAGAACCAAAUAUCACAGGGAUCUGGUGAGGUGAGAUGUCAAGUGGGUCAUAUUCGGUUGUGAGAAGCUUGAGAUUUCAGUGCACACCGAAGUGAAAGUGUCAUAGGGACAAUCAAUUACGUGAGUUUGGAGCUCAGAGAAUAGAUAUGCCUUGGAGAUAUAAUUUUGAUGUCAACAACCAACAGAUGGUAUUUAAUGCUACAGAAAUAGCCAAGAUCCCAUUGAGACAAAGCGUAGAAAUAUAAGAGGGCUCGAACCUUUAAGGAGCCUACAAAGAAGUUAAAAGACUGAUUGGAAAAGGGGGAGUGAACCAGACGAUGUCAGUUGACAUCCAUGAAUUUCAAUAAAGAAGGGGUGCCCAAGAAGACUCAAAUAAAAAAUAUAUAUACAUACACACAAACACUUAGGUAACUAUGGAUUCAGUUUCUUUGAAGACAAAAAUACUUCAAAGGAAUUGAAAAUGAGUCAAAACUAGUAGAUGUAAAUAUUGGUAUAUAUGACCUAAAAAUAUUUUAAAAAACCCGAGAUGUUUGUUUCAUGUACAAGUAUUUUGGAUAUAAUUUAUAAUCAUAUACAAAUAUGCACAGUUAUACAAGUAGUAUUUAUAAUUAUAUAUUUAAAUGUAUGUUUUGAUAAAAACUAAGCAAUUUUAGAGAUUGUUAUAUAUUGUAAAUGUUUUUUCGUCUCCUAUAAAAGAAAAACUGAAAAUUUA
rnacentral:lncRNA from 1 species